AGAGUUUGAUCAUGGCUCAGAACGAACGCUGGCGGCAGGCUUAACACAUGCAAGUCGAACGCACCUUCGGGUGAGUGGCAGACGGGUGAGUAACGCGUGGGAACGUGCCCUUCAGUUCGGAAUAACCCAGGGAAACUUGGGCUAAUACCGGAUACGUGCGAGAGCAGAAAGAUUUAUCGCUGAAGGAUCGGCCCGCGUCUGAUUAGCUAGUUGGUGGGGUAAUGGCCCACCAAGGCGACGAUCAGUAGCUGGUCUGAGAGGAUGAUCAGCCACAUUGGGACUGAGACACGGCCCAAACUCCUACGGGAGGCAGCAGUGGGGAAUAUUGGACAAUGGGCGCAAGCCUGAUCCAGCCAUGCCGCGUGAGUGAUGAAGGCCUUAGGGUUGUAAAGCUCUUUCGGCGGGGACGAUAAUGACGGUACCCGCAGAAGAAGCCCCGGCUAACUUCGUGCCAGCAGCCGCGGUAAUACGAAGGGGGCUAGCGUUGUUCGGAAUCACUGGGCGUAAAGGGCGCGUAGGCGGCUUGAUAAGUCGGGGGUGAAAGCCUGUGGCUCAACCACAGAAUUGCCUUCGAUACUGUCUGGCUUGAGACCGGAAGAGGUAAGUGGAACUGCGAGUGUAGAGGUGAAAUUCGUAGAUAUUCGCAAGAACACCAGUGGCGAAGGCGGCUUACUGGUCCGNNNNUGACGCUGAGGCGCGAAAGCGUGGGAGCAAACAGGAUUAGAUACCCNNGUAGUCC
rnacentral:rRNA from 1 species